UUCACUGGGUACUUGGUGCCCUCACUGGUC
rnacentral:piRNA from 1 species